ACGGUCCUCUCACAUUCCAUUGCGUAGCAAGGGGGGAUUUAAGGAGACUUAUUUCCUUAAAACUGUCCUCCCAUCCACAGAGCGCCCAGUCUGCUCUGAUCAAGUUGAUAUAGCAAAAUUCAGCCAGGGUACAGGGAAUACUAUACGAGGCGGACUAACCGAAGAUUUGGCCCUUAUAUAUUAUUACCAGAUAUAAUACUAUUUCCUGGUGGUGUAUUUUUUAAACAAGUUAAUAGCUUUAAAUAUCAGCCAUGUUAAGACAUGCUGUUGUGGCUGGAACACAUCGACAGAGAAAAUACCAUCCCUGCAGGAGUUUGGUGACAUCCGACUUAUUUCAGUGGAUGCAUUUUUCCUGCACCCUUGAAUUGACUGGAGAACUGUCGGCCACUUACACUUCAGGAGAAAAUCAACUGUUUUUAUCUCGCAAAGACUUUGAUGAAUGGAAAUCGUCGGGGAUCACGCCGUCUAGACUUUUUUUUUCUCUAUCAAUCUUCUGUUCCGGACUCGUCAUGUUUGCAUCUCGACUGGAGUAAAGUUUUCCAACAUGUGAUCUAGUUUAUGACCGGGGUUUCUUCAGCCUACAGCCGUUCUCUGUCUGAGGGAUGUAUAGGGACAUGGCAAGUUGUCAGGGCCUCUGCAACAAACACAUGGAUUCAAUUAAAUACACUCUCCUCAGACCAUCAACAUGACAGAGCAAAGUCCAGAUACACAGAAAUCCAACAAGGACAAAUAAUACAAGGAGGAAGAUACCUCUCACCAGACUCACACUGACUUGAUGUUCAUUAGCUUACUCUAUGAGCAAGUUUAGCUUUCCAAUGUAACUUAUGAUUGCUAUGAUUUUUUAUUAAAAUGUACUUGUAUUGUUGAUAUAUGUUGCUACCAUUAUUAAUGAUAUUCAAUAUAUUUUAAAUCAUGUCCCUUGCAUUCAAACUAAGUGUUUGUGGUUUUCACCAACCCAGGACACUGUAAUAUUAUGGCUGACUUAUCCUCCAACCCCAGCGGUGUGUAAAUAAAGAUAUCUAUGUUGA